rnacentral:rRNA from 1 species
AUUGAACGCUGGCGGCAUGCCUUACACAUGCAAGUCGAACGGUAACAGGUCUUCGGAUGCUGACGAGUGGCGAACGGGUGAGUAAUACAUCGGAACGUGCCCGAUCGUGGGGGAUAACGAGGCGAAGGCUUUGCUAAUACCGCAUACGAUCUACGGAUGAAAGCGGGGGAUCUUCGGACCUCGCGCGGACGGAGCGGCCGAUGGCAGAUUAGGUAGUUGGUGGGAUAAAAGCUUACCAAGCCGACGAUCUGUAGCUGGUCUGAGAGGAUGAUCAGCCACACUGGGACUGAGACACGGCCCAGACUCCUACGGGAGGCAGCAGUGGGGAAUUUUGGACAAUGGGCGAAAGCCUGAUCCAGCCAUGCCGCGUGCAGGAUGAAGGCCUUCGGGUUGUAAACUGCUUUUGUACGGAACGAAAAGCCUCUUUCUAAUAAAGAGGGGUCAUGACGGUACCGUAAGAAUAAGCACCGGCUAACUACGUGC